UAGAGGGUCACUUUGGCAUCUCCACUGUUGGUAACACACUAAUCCUUGCCUGAAAGCAUCAGAGCUGAGAUGACUGCUGACAGAGCAGAACAGAGUCGGCGUUUGUGGUUCUGUUACGUGUCCUCAAGGUAUGGUGCUCAUUUGCAUAUGAAAUACAUUACUUGAAUGAUAAUAAACCAUGUCCCCUCAUUUUUACUUUUUGUGUAACUUAAAUAAGCCUCACAGAAGUUGGGUCAGCCUUGCCCAUGUCACGUUUUUUGACAGUCACCUCCUCUCAUCACAGCACAGUGGUUGACCGAUGGAGUGUUGAUACUGGUGUUGAUGAGUUGGAGGCUGGAUAAGGGCAUCUCCAUCAAGAGGUGAAUGCGGCUGCUAAUUGAGGCGAUAAAGGGCUCAAACAGCAGAACAAACCAUGUGACUUGCAGCCACUAAACUGUUUUCAAUUCAGUGGAUUGCCAAUCCGCCACAGGGCGGGCCACAUUGUUUCUACAACUGACGAUGAAGACUGGUUAAGUUAGCUAGUGCUGCCAGCACAAAGAUAAACACACAAAGAAACAACCAAUUCCAAAACCAGGGGAGAACUUUUGAUACCUUGCACCAGUGCUGAGGGAAGUGCAAUUCUCUCAGUAUCAUUUAAAUACUAAUUGAAAUUUUACUUUCCACAAUUCUCACUCCAAUUUGGCUGUUGCCCCUGGAGGCAGAGGAGAGACCUGCUGUUGUUCUGCACCCAACACUGUCACCCUGCAGACAGUCUCAGGUGCGAUGCAUUGGCAGACUCAGAAUAUGGUGAACCUUGCUUGACUUUGUCUGCCAAUGCCAAAAUGGAGGUGACGAUUUUAAAAUGUUAUGUCUUACUGUAAAAGAGUAUUUCUUUAAAUCUUUGCAACUGAAUAUAUGAGCUGUGUGGUUUGUAUUCAUCUCAGUGGUGAUUUCAAUUUGCUUCCCCUGCGCUGCUCAGCCAGCGACACCACUGACCACAGUCCCCCAUUUAAAUGCACCGUCAGUGCUAUGGUAAACAUUGUGACAUAGUUGCAGGACUUUGCUCUUACUCUCUCUGCCAGCAACUCAAUAUCCUGACCAAUGCAACAUUAAAAAAAUGUUUACCAGUAGUGCUUAUGAGUGCAUGUAUGCAUGUGUGUCUGACUUAUUUUGACUUUUUGUUUGCGUGUGAGAUAAUUUGACAAACUACUUCCUAUAUUACCAUGAAAGUCCUGGUGAUGACAACAAUAAAUG